AGUGAACGCUGGCGGUAGGCCUAACACAUGCAAGUCGAACGGCAGCACAGUAAGAGCUUGCUCUUACGGGUGGCGAGUGGCGGACGGGUGAGGAAUACAUCGGAAUCUACUUUUUCGUGGGGGAUAACGUAGGGAAACUUACGCUAAUACCGCAUACGACCUACGGGUGAAAGCAGGGGAUCUUCGGACCUUGCGCGUUUCAAUGAGCCGAUGUCGGAUUAGCUAGUUGGCGGGGUAAAGGCCCACCAAGGCAACGAUCCGUAGCUGGUCUGAGAGGAUGAUCAGCCACACUGGAACUGAGACACGGUCCAGACUCCUACGGGAGGCAGCAGUGGGGAAUAUUGGGCAAUGGGCGCAAGCCUGAUCGAGCAAUGCCGCGUGAGUGAAGAAGGCCUUCGGGUUGUAAAGCCCUUUUGUUGGGAAAGAAAAGAAGUAGGUUAAUACCCCGCUGUUCUGACGGUACCUAAAGAAUAAGCCCCGGCUAACUUCGUG
rnacentral:rRNA from 1 species